AUUGAACGCUGGCGGCAGGCUUAACACAUGCAAGUCGAGCGGAGAUGAGGUGCUUGCACCUUAUCUUAGCGGCGGACGGGUGAGUAAUGCUUAGGAAUCUGCCUAUUAGUGGGGGACAACAUUCCGAAAGGAAUGCUAAUACCGCAUACGUCCUACGGGAGAAAGCAGGGGAUCUUCGGACCUUGCGCUAAUAGAUGAGCCUAGGUCGGAUUAGCUAGGUGGUGGGGUAAAGGCCUACCAAGGCGACGAUCUGUAGCGGGUCUGAGAGGAUGAUCCGCCACACUGGGACUGAGACACGGCCCAGACUCCUACGGGAGGCAGCAGUGGGGAAUAUUGGACAAUGGGGGGAACCCUGAUCCAGCCAUGCCGCGUGUGUGAAGAAGGCCUUAUGGUUGUAAAGCACUUUAAGCGAGGAGGAGGCUACUGAGACUAAUACUCUUGGAUAGUGGACGUUACUCGCAGAAUAAGCACCGGCUAACUCUGUGCCAGCCGCCGCAGUAAUAC
rnacentral:rRNA from 1 species